UACAGAGGUCGUCAAGCGUUGUUCGGAUUCAUUGGGCGUAAAGGGUGUGUAGGUGGCGCCGUAAGUCGGGUGUGAAAUUUCGGAGCUUAACUCCGAAACUGCAUUCGAUACUGCGGUGCUUGAGGACUGGAGAGGAGACUGGAAUUCAUGGUGUAGCAGUGAAAUGCGUAGAGAUCAUGAGGAAGACCAGUGGCGAAGGCGGGUCUCUGGACAGUUCCUGACACUGAGACACGAAGGCCAGGGGAGCAAACGGG
rnacentral:rRNA from 1 species